rnacentral:rRNA from 1 species
CGCUAGCUACAGGCUUAACACAUGCAAGUCGAGGGGCAGCAUGGUCUUAGCUUGCUAAGGCCGAUGGCGACCGGCGCACGGGUGAGUAACACGUAUCCAACCUGCCGUCUACUCUUGGACAGCCUUCUGAAAGGAAGAUUAAUACAAGAUGGCAUCAUGAGUCCGCAUGUUCACAUGAUUAAAGGUAUUCCGGUAGACGAUGGGGAUGCGUUCCAUUAGAUAGUAGGCGGGGUAACGGCCCACCUAGUCUUCGAUGGAUAGGGGUUCUGAGAGGAAGGUCCCCCACAUUGGAACUGAGACACGGUCCAAACUCCUACGGGAGGCAGCAGUGAGGAAUAUUGGUCAAUGGGCGAGAGCCUGAACCAGCCAAGUAGCGUGAAGGAUGACUGCCCUAUGGGUUGUAAACUUCUUUUAUAAAGGAAUAAAGUCGGGUAUGGAUACCCGUUUGCAUGUACUUUAUGAAUAAGGAUCGGCUAACUCCGUGCCAGCAGCCGCGGUAAUACGGAGGAUCCGAGCGUUAUCCGGAUUUAUUGGGUUUAAAGGGAGCGUAGAUGGAUGUUUAAGUCAGUUGUGAAAGUUUGCGGCUCAACCGUAAAAUUGCAGUUGAUACUGGAUAUCUUGAGUGCAGUUGAGGCAGGCGGAAUUCGUGGUGUAGCGGUGAAAUGCUUAGAUAUCACGAAGAACUCCGAUUGCGAAGGCAGCCUGCUAAGCUGCAACUGACAUUGAGGCUCGAAAGUGUGGGUAUCAAACAGGAUUAGAUACCCUGGUAGUCCACACGGUAAACGAUGAAUACUCGCUGUUUGCGAUAUACUGCAAGCGGCCAAGCGAAAGCGUUAAGUAUUCCACCUGGGGAGUACGCCGGCAACGGUGAAACUCAAAGGAAUUGACGGGGGCCCGCACAAGCGGAGGAACAUGUGGUUUAAUUCGAUGAUACGCGAGGAACCUUACCCGGGCUUAAAUUGCAGAUGAAUUACGGUGAAAGCCGUAAGCCGCAAGGCAUCUGUGAAGGUGCUGCAUGGUUGUCGUCAGCUCGUGCCGUGAGGUGUCGGCUUAAGUGCCAUAACGAGCGCAACCCUUGUUGUCAGUUACUAACAGGUUCCGCUGAGGACUCUGGCAAGACUGCCAUCGUAAGAUGUGAGGAAGGUGGGGAUGACGUCAAAUCAGCACGGCCCUUACGUCCGGGGCUACACACGUGUUACAAUGGGGGGUACAGAGGGCCGCUACCACGCGAGUGGAUGCCAAUCCCCAAAACCUCUCUCAGUUCGGACUGGAGUCUGCAACCCGACUCCACGAAGCUGGAUUCGCUAGUAAUCGCGCAUCAGCCACGGCGCGGUGAAUACGUUCCCGGGCCUUGUACACACCGCCCGUCAAGCCAUGGGAGCCGGGGGUACCUGAAGUGCGUAACCGCGAGGAGCGCCCUAGGGUAAAACUGGUGACUGGGGC